AAAAAAUGGGAUGGGGAGGAGGAAGAAGAAGAAGAGGGUAUGAUCAGUCAAAGUUGGCCUUCAUUGGUAAGGACCUCUAAGAUCAUUUGUCACCUUAGAACCUGUAGAGAACUUUUGAGUCUUCCUGGGAGAAAGAUUGAUUCUACCAAGAUCUGAUUUGAUUCUAAAUACCCAGUUCUUGGACAUCUUCAUUGGCAUAGAGAAAUCUCAAAGUUUGGGACAUAUAUUCCAACAUAUGAUUUUGGAUGAUCCCGUGUUGAUCGUGAUAUGGAUAAGGAGCUUCUUGGAGAUCUGCAAACAUGGCCAGCAGGAUGUACAUAAUGUAUUCCCCAGUCCUGAUGGCCAGGAAAAGGAAGGGAAGCAAGGAGAAAUCCUGCUCCUUGCCAGCCUCACUUUCUCUACUCCCUUCUGCACCCAACAAUCCUGGGUCUCCACAUAAUAUUGCUUGCUCAGCAUUGGAAAGAUAAUUACCUUUAAGUAAGUUGGGAAGCCUAUGCAUUUUGUCAGUAAGUAAGUAAGUAAGUAAGUAAGUAAGUAAAUAUUUAAGAAAGACAAACAUCUAGCUCAACUUCUCCAAAGUUAAUAUAAUUAGCCAGAAAGGAGUAGGUCACCUAGUAACCUAGAUUAGCUAUGGGGGGCAAUCAUGAAAUAUUUAUUGAAAUCAUUUUUUAGCAACCCAUCUAAUAAUGAAAAAGAAUGGAUACCAGCCAGCAGUUAAGGCCGCAUCAUAGCACAAUUAAUGUAAAUGUGUGCAUUAAAACCACACAUUGUAAAAACCUGGCACCAUAGUCAACACUAAAAACCCAUCACAAGCAUGCUCAUCAAUCUUACCCUAUCCCUUUGUUAUUCCGAAAUCAUAAAGAGGCUGGGCAAACAUCUGGUGGAAGGGUGUUUACCUCCCCACCUCCCCCUUAUAGGGACCUAUGGGGCUGCUGGUUGAUUUGCUACAAAUCCAAUACAGUCAGAAAGGCAAUUACAAUUUCCCAUUCCUAUCACUAUAAGGUUUGUCCUAAUAUUGCCGCUUAUUUCUGCUCAGUUGGCCUCACCCAUCCUCUUCUUUGAGCAGCACUCUAGGUCGGGGGUUCCCAACCAGAUGGAUCUUGACAGACUUGAAAACUGGAACAUUGAAUUUCAUUGAACAUUGAAUGAAAUUCAAU